UUGAGUCUUUGGUGGUAAGCUGGGAGUGUAUGGUGCCAGAACAAACUGAAACCGACGGGCAUCUCAUGUUAAAUCUGUCGACUUCUAUUUUUCAAGGACUUAGCCUGGCGUGAAACUGAAUUGACAAGAGCCAGAUGUAGAGUUUGAAUGAGCUAAAUCUGGAUUUGUUGGCUAAAUCUCUAAACGGUAUAGAGACAGGAAAGCAGAAGGUAAUGUGUUGUCCAUGAAUAUUGACAACCCCAUACAACAACUUGGUGGAAUAGUUUCAAAAUACCAGAAAAAACGUAUCAUUGUAACCAUUUUAUUGUGAUCGUGAUCAUGGUUGAAUCUCCGUGAAAUAAAUUUUAUUCGUGGGUCCCUAGAUAGCUUUGUGGUGUGAUGCUGCUGCUCUAGCGUAAAUAUGGGUGCUUCAGAAUUUUCUAAACCUUGCACAGAGGUGUAACUCAUCCAGAUGACAUGGCAUAUUAUAAACCUAGAAUGUAAACUAAUGCCCUCACAAAUGAGGAGGAAAGACAAGGGGCUUUGAUGCAAUUGACGCUGCUCUAAAAAGGGAUAGUGAUUGCAUCUCCUGAUUAAUUUCCUAGAGACGUUCUUGCAUUUGUCCACGGGGAAAUACUCCAAGAUGACAGGGUCUAUGGACGAGCAUUACCGGGUACUGGAGGUCCAAGUCCCCAUUCAGGUUAAUACCUGUAAGUUUCAAGGGGGAGAAAAUGGAUGAUUACUGCCCAUCAAUAUACAAUGUUGGUGCAAGCAUAUCACUCUUUCAUCAUGAAUAAUGAAUCUGUGUAGGCUUUCGUCUUCAAUUAUAUUAACUUAUAGGUUGAUGUCCAGGUAUAUGAUUGUGUGCACGAUACCGGAUCGUUAAUAUAAUUGCUCAAUUUCAAAAUUUCCAGGAAACCCUUGAUAUAUUUGUUGACAUAUCUUAUUCAGGCGAUGGUGUUAUUAUUCAGUAGAUCGAUCCUUUAAAACGUUGGGGGGAAUAUACAAU